CUCACUCAGUGCUAGAACAAUGAUAAAUCCUGUGCUGCUGCUGGAUUAGUGCUCACUCAGUGCUAGAACAAUGAUAAAUCCUGUGCUGCUGCUGGAUUAGUGCUCACUCAGUGCUAGAACAAUGAUAAAUCCUGUGCUGCUGCUGGAUUAGUGCUCACUCAGUGCUAGAACAAUGAUAAAUCCUGUGCUGCUGCUGGAUUAGUGCUCCUGACCUAUUUUACAACUACAUGGAGGCCACACUAUGGAGAGUUAAUAUCCCUCACCGCUGCUGCUAUUAACUUGGAGUCACAUGUAAUCCCAUGGACACACAUAUUAACACACACACCGAUUUGUGAGCACACACUCACAUGCACAGUUUACUGUUCUGUUCUUAUUCUGGAAAUAGGAGAAAGGGAGCGAGUGAGUGUCAAAAAAGGUAGCAUGAGAUGGAGGGAAAGAGAGGAGAACAUAGACGAGAGAUAUAGAGGGGGAGAAACUGAGGGAGGGAGAAUGAGAUCACAGUUUGCUCAGGCCCGGGGAUCUCAGAGUGGUGAGUAAAAAGAUUAUGGAUAGGGGAUAAUCAGUUCUCAAGCAUUUAAUUUGCCUGUCCUGCGUGACUUAGGUAGCAGUCUGUGUGUGUAUCCAUUUGUAUAUCGAAAACCCUGCUGAGGCACUUUGGAGUUAAUUAAAACGCAACAUUUCAUGUCAUUGCGUGGCCUCAUUCAGUUGCUCUGUUUUCUACCUAUUACAGAGGUGACUAUGCCAAUGUCGUGUUUGAAUCAUGGCUUUGCAUGAGGUGAGGGAGAGAUAAAGAGAAAGGGAUGACGAGCAGAACUGUGUGUGUGAGAGAUUGAGCGUCGGGUCGAGGGAGAGAAAGGUAGAGAGGGGGGGAGAAAAAGGCAUUAAAAGAGUAUGAGAAUUAGAGGGAGGGAUGGAUAGAGAUGCAGAAAGAGAGAGUGAGAGAGAUUAGUAUUGUUUUUCAUGUGCUUAAUAAAAUCAGCCGCAGGGCUCGGCCACCAGUGCUCGGGACUGCCACACCAUGCAUCCUAAAUGGCACCCUAUUCCUUUCAUAGUGCACUACGUUUGACCAGAGCCCUCAAAGUAGUGAACUAUGUAGGGAAUAGGGUGCCAUUUAGGACUCUGUGUUCAGCGACAGGGAACAGGAGACUCCUUCUCUUCUCUAUGGCUCUUCGUCCGCCAGGGCAAAUGGUAAAGUCAUUAUUCAAAGCAUCUGUGUGUCUGAAUGCAUCGCCAGGUGUGUGUGUAUGAUAGAGGAGAGUUCCUGUCAGAUUUCUUGUGUGUCUUUGUGUGUGUGUGACUUCUCUUACUCAUGAGCAGAAAAUACAGACGUGCUAUCUUCAUUUGAACAGGUUCUCGCAGCAGGAAAGUAAUCCUGCAGCAACAAGAAAUGUGAAUUUGAUUUGAAUUAUUAGGUGGAUAAUAAUGAAUGGACAUUUGUGUUGGGGCUAAUACAUUUUUCGUUAGGGAAAAUCAAGUCUGACAUUUUUAAGUGGAAAGGAUAAACUACAGAAUCCUUUUUAAACCUUGAAUACAGUCGAAGUUAGCAUUUCAUGCUGCGCAGGAAAAUUCGAUGCAACACAACAGAGUCAUCAAAUUAAAAAUCUGUCCAGUAUCUUUGCACACAUUCAAACGUGGCUCAGGAGCAGGAGAAAACUAGGUCAGAUAAAUACAUAAGGUAAAUGUCUACUCACUGCUCAUGAUUGUCUACUCGUGUUUGUACGCAUGGGUCAAUGUUUGUGUAAAGGAAGACAUUUUAAGUGAUGUAUUAAACCAGCCAUAUUGCGUUCUAUGCUUAUUUUUUAUUUUCCAUAUAUGUGAUGCUCUUCACCUCUAACAACGCUCUAAACAGCAGUCUGUCUGUCUUUCCCCUUCCUCUCGGUGGUUUCUAUGGCAACAGGGUUCACUCGGGGUCAGCACUUUUUUUCACGGAGCAGCUGCGGAGGGGCUAGUGGCGUGAGCAACUUUUUAUAGGACAGUGUGGUGGACUGUCAGCUCUCAGACCUUCGCGAGGAGGACACUGUAGAAGCUGUCCCCACGGUGACAAGGACAGGCAGAGACUGGACAACAUGCUGAUGCUGAAGAAAGGGCUGAGGGACAAUCACACCCUCCCUGCCCAAGUCUAAGAGGCUGCCCAGCGUCGCUCCUCGUCCAGAUCAAUUUUGAUUACAAUAUCCCUGAGAUGAAUGUUGUGUAUACUGUAACGUUAUGGCUAUGAUGGAGAUAACUUGUACCUUUUUAUUUUUAUGUACCAAUGUAUUCCCCUAACCUUAUUCUUUCAAUAAAGUUCAUAUUUUAUUCAUAUUAUA